GGAUAACUUACCCUUAGGACUGGGAUAACUCUGGGAAACUGGGGAUAAUACUGGAUAUUAGGCUAUGCCUGGAAUGGUUUGCCUUUGAAAUGUUUUUUUUCGCCUAAGGAUAGGUCUGCGGCUGAUUAGGUCGUUGGUGGGAUAAUGGCCCACCAAGCCGAUGAUCGGUACGGGUUGUGAGAGCAAGGGCCCGAAGAUGGAACCUGAGACAAGGUUCCAGACCCUACGGGGUGCAGCAGGCGCGAAACCUCCGCAAUGUACGAAAGUGCGACGGGGGGAUCCCAAGUGUUAUGCUUUUUUGUAUGACUUUUCAUUAGUGUAAAAAGCUUUUAGAAUAAGAGCUGGGCAAGACCGGUGCCAGCCGCCGCGGUAACACCGGCAGCCCGAGUGGUAGCUGUUUUUAUUGGGCCUAAAGCGUUCGUAGCCGGUUUGAUAAGUUUUUGGUGAAAGCUUGUAGCUUAACUAUAAGAAUUGCUGGAGAUACUAUUAGACUUGAAGUCGGGAGAGGUUAGAGGUACUACCGGGGUAGGGGUGAAAUCCUAUAAUCCUGGGAGGACCACCUGUGGCGAAGGCGUCUAACUGGAACGAUCUUGACGGUGAGUAACGAAAGCCAGGGGCGCGAACCGGAUUAGAUACCCGGGUAGUCCUGGCCGUAAACGAUGUGGACUUGGUGUUGGAAUGGCUUUGAGUUGUUCCGGUGCCGAAGGGAAGCUGUUAAGUCCACCGCCUGGGAAGUACGGUCGCAAGACUGAAACUUAA
rnacentral:rRNA from 1 species